AGCCUCUUUCCUUGAUCAACAGAGUUUGAUUAAAACACUUAUAUACAGAAUGGCCAUGGCAACAGAAAUAUAUAUGCAUUCCAAAGCCUCAACUUCAUGGCCAAUUUGGCUAUUAAAUCUGCUGAGUGCUCAAGCUACUAUUAAUACUAUCACAAGCCAGCAAUGUACAUGAUUCCUGGGGAGGACCAGCAAACUACUUCUCAGGAUGAUUGCAAUGGACAUUUUUCAUCAAGAAGGUAAUAAUUUAUCUUCAUCAUAACCAGGCAUAUAUUUAUAAAAUUCAUUUUCUUUCCCUGUCUACAGUGAGUUUGCCAGUACCACCAUCGGUGGACUAACACAGUGCCUCAUCACAGUCAUGGUAUUCUAUUCAACAUCAUGCCAGACCAACGGUCUCAAUUUAAACUACUCCAGAAAGAAGGCAUCUUUGAGGAAUUUGGGCUAAUCUAUAUGCAAGCAGCAUGUUCUUCUGUGAUGCAUUCGAGGUCACAGUCUCUCUACCCUUGCCCGCUGUACAUAGACAGAGCAAUAAAACAGGGUUGUUAGGUCUAUGAUUUGAGAAGAAAUCAGUAAAAUGCACAACUUUUGAAAUCUCAUGGUGCCAGCCCUGCUUAACAACCAGAUCUAGUACUACAUAAUACCAAGAGAUUGAAUGGGCGACAUUCAUUUUCUACUUGUUACAUAAAUGCUUCUGGUGUUCGAUAUAAUGAAGAAGGAAAGCAGCAACAACAGCAGCCUGCAAAAGUUAAAGCGGGGCCAGAUUAAGCCAUUGACAGCUUCUGAGAAAAUAUGUCGGUGAUUUCUGACUUUGGACAUGAGGAUAAUCUUGUAUAGGCUGCCUACUCUGUUUCUACAUUUUAAAACUUGAGAUUCUCAGAGGAUCAUCAGGAGUUUCAUGGCACUAAGAUUCUAUUUUGAGCAAUUAACACAAAAACUCUGAGAAAUGUUUCGAGAAUAAAAGACAGUUCAACAAGUACAAAGUGUAAUGGAGCCCUGGAGAAUAUGAUUGCCUGGUACAGGAGAGCUCUGGGACCACAGAUGGAGAAGAUGUAAGUACAUGAAAUAAAUAAGGGGGCCACACGAUUUAUAUUAUGAGCAGGAUAACUUGGGUUCCUCAUGUUUCUUAAGUCUGUGCCUGUUAAAUUCUUAUUUUCCAGAAGUCAGUUUAUGAAGACAUGAAUUUUAGGAACAUUGGCAGAAUCCCAACACUUUUUUUCAGCUUCAUAGCUCUAUCCCGACUGUAUUUACAGAUAUAACCUGUGCAUUCUAAUGAGGAUAAAUACCUUUUAAAUAAAUAUUUUAAACACACAAAAACACAUUUCAAAACAAAAUGUUCAUAACAAAAUUAUAUCUCCACACACAGUGACUGUGGAGUAGAAUUUUAAUCACCAACAAAAAGAAUUCCAGCUCCUAUAGUCCUAAAUCUAUAUUUCCUUCUCCAACAAGCCCUCCACAUGAUGAACUUUUCCUAUAUAUUUUAAUUUAAUGAUAGACUAGUAGUAUCUUAAUUUAUGAAAUGAUCAUAUGUGACAUAAUUCAAAUCAUUGGAAUGACAAAAUAUAUUGUUUUUCAUUUAAAAGGCAGUAGAUUUUCAUCAGAAGCAGAGAGCAAAUAGGAGGCAUUUGUUCUGUUCAAUGCAGCUUCUAUAGAAAUUGUGAUGCCUGAGCUUUGUGUGACUGGCUAAGAAACACUCCACGAUUGAGACAUCCACCUCACUAUCUGCCCAUUUCUGUUCCCAUUGAUUUCCCAAAAUGUGAACAAUAGCCUCACAAUUUGUGACCCUCCAAUUACAGCCAGAUUCCAGACUUAUGUUUGUAGGGCUCAUGAUAAGAGUGCAAAUAUAAUUCCACAUCCCGUAUUUCAAAUGUUGAAAAGAUCUAAUCUUCUAAACUUGACAAAUAGAUUUUCAUAACACCUAGAAAAAAAAAAGGCCAGGUUAAAAUGUAGUAUUUCAGACUGCUGAGUGUUUUCUCACCAGAAUGUGAUAACACAGUGGGAGUCAGUUCCCUGGCCCAUGCUCUACCCUUCUUCUCUUCUAGCUCCUCACUUUAUCUUGACCACAAUAUACAUACUCAUUCUCAUGUGGAUGGGCAUGGCUACCUUGUUUCUUCAGUCCAAGCUCUGUCAAUACUCAUGAAAGUAGCUACUCCUUUUCAGGCCUCAUGCGUAGUGAUUUGAACAUUGGAAGCUUUGGGGUUGUUUGGGUGAAGAAUUUUGGGAUCUUAAUUUCCUAGGUCAUAGUCUAGAAAGGCAUGGCAGGGAAUCCAGGUUGACAUGUCCUUUAGCCCUGUGACUUUUGCUCCAGGAGAAAUAGAAGUUCCAGAAAUGGACCACAGCAGGUCCCUUAGACACUGCCAGGUUUAAGAAUGAUACAGCUUAGGCCUAUGGUUUUAGAGGGUGUUUCUAAACAAGAAAUAUAUUUCUUAGGCUUACUGGCAGUAGUAAAGUAACAGAACUGAGGUUAUACUAACUUAAAAAUUAUAAAUUCGAAAUUUCUGUUAAUUAUAG
ensembl:lncRNA